UCCCUGUUGGACUAGUGGUUGGCCACAGUACUCUUACCGCUGUGGCCCGGGUUCGAUUCCUGGUUAGGGAA